UACGAAGGGAGCUAGCGUUGUUCGGAAUCACUGGGCGUAAAGCGCACGUAGGCGGCUUGUUAAGUCAGGGGUGAAAUCCUGGAGCUCAACUCCAGAACUGCCUUUGAUACUGGCAAGCUUGGAGUCCGGGAGAGGUGAGUGGAACUGCGAGUGUAGAGGUGAAAUUCGUAGAUAUUCGCAAGAACACCAGUGGCGAAGGCGGCUCACUGGCCCAGUACUGACGCUGAGGUACGAAAGCGUGGGGAGCAAACAGG
rnacentral:rRNA from 1 species